GAUGAACGCUGGCGGCGCGCCUAACACAUGCAAGUCGAACGGCACCUGCCCUCGGGCAGAAGCGAGUGGCGAACGGCUGAGUAACACGUGGAGAACCUGCCCCCUCCCCCGGGAUAGCCGCCCGAAAGGACGGGUAAUACCGGAUACCCCCGGGAGCCGCAUGGCUCCCGGGCUAAAGCCCCGACGGGAGGGGAUGGCUCCGCGGCCCAUCAGGUAGACGGCGGGGUGACGGCCCACCGUGCCGACAACGGGUAGCCGGGUUGAGAGACCGACCGGCCAGAUUGGGACUGAGACACGGCCCAGACUCCUACGGGAGGCAGCAGUGGGGAAUCUUGCGCAAUGGGGGGAACCCUGACGCAGCGACGCCGCGUGCGGGACGGAGGCCUUCGGGUCGUAAACCGCUUUCAGCAGGGAAGAGUCAAGACUGUACCUGCAGAAGAAGCCCCGGCUA
rnacentral:rRNA from 1 species